CUCUUGCCGUAGUCACCAAUGACAAAUAUAUUUGGUCAAUUUUGUGCCUGUGAUUAAAGCAAACCUCUAUAGAGCAGGCCCUCAGGCCAACCCCGAGACUCCCCUGACCACCUCUAGUCAUUUUGUUUCCUAACCUGCCCCUCCCAGUGUCCUGAGGCCCAACCUGUUGCCAACCAUGACCUGGCCGAGUUUCUUGCUGGCCCCCAUUUUGUCCUUUUCAGAAGGCCAGCAGAACCCAGCUAACAGAGCUAGUGCUUACAGGGAGAAGGGCCUCAAAGGUGGGGUAGACAGGAUGUUGAACUCCAAAGUCGGUUAAAGUUAAGAGGGAAAAGUACCACUGCAAUCUACAGAGGCAGGUUCAGAAUUUGGAAAUUCAGGUUUCCUGGAGAAUCCCUCGGGCGGAAGUUCACACCUCUGGCAAAGGCCUCAUGACACUAUGGAAAGCUCACAGGUUUCGGUUCUUAUUCUGCGGUGAUCUGUCAGUGUUCAAAGUCAGUUGACCAACAUCAGCUGUGUUGUGCAUGACUAACUCUUAGGAAGGAGGUAACUGAAGCCAGUUUUGCAGACAUGAACCAACGGCCAGUAGAAGUGUUCUGGACAUUGGUGCAUGAGUCCGUCCCACUGAGGUGGACUGAAACGCCGUGAAAGGAAAAAAACCAAGUGGCCUAAAGAUACACCUUUAGUGAGUGAG
rnacentral:lncRNA from 1 species